rnacentral:rRNA from 1 species
CCUACGGGUGGCAGCAGUGAGGAAUAUUGGUCAAUGGACGCAAGUCUGAACCAGCCAUGCCGCGUGCAGGAAGACGGCCCUAUGAGUUGUAAACUGCUUUUGUACGAGGGUAAACGCAGCUACGUGUAUCUGUCUGAAAGUAUCGUACGAAUAAGGAUCGGCUAACUCCGUGCCAGCAGCCGCGGUAAUACGGAGGAUUCAAGCGUUAUCCGGAUUUAUUGGGUUUAAAGGGUGCGUAGGCGGUCGGUUAAGUUAGAGGUGAAAUCCCGAGGCUCAACUUCGGAAUUGCCUCUGAUACUGUCAGGCUAGAGAAUAGUUGCGGUAGGCGGAAUGUGUGGUGUAGCGGUGAAAUGCUUAGAGAUCAUACAGAACACCGAUUGCGAAGGCAGCUUACCAAGCUACUACUGACGUUGAGGCACGAAAGCGUGGGUAUCAAACAGGAUUAGAUACCCUUGUAGUC